AAAAAUUGAAAAAACAGAUCUCGCAGUCGAGAAAGGGAGAGAGAGGGUGUGGUCGAUGCUGGCCCCACCCCUCCUACGUCCUUGGUCGACGGCGGCUUGGGAAGUCACUGGUGACCUCGGAUGGGGGUUGGUUGCAGCCGGCGACGACCUCAUCCCCCGAAAUCAGUUGCAGACGGUGACGACCUUCGGCUCUCGCCGGCGUCUAUUACUCUCUCUCUCUGUCCCCCCUUCUCUCUUCUCUCUCUAUCUCUUUCUGUAUACGAAGUCCGAUCAUCAUUAAUGUCGCUGGAAUCCUGCGUUCGGUCGAUUGCCUUCUCAUCAGGUUUGCGUGCCUCUCCUUAUCAUGGCGCGUUCUCUCUCCUAUCUAUUUUUCAAAGAGAGAAAAUUAGAGCAAAUCAGUAAAUAGCAGGGUUGAGUAGAUGGUGAGGUUGAAUUGAAUGAUCAAUUUUAGGAAGUCCUAUCUAUGAAGGUAAAGUCACAGAUGCUAUUGUUUUGUUUGGUUUGAAGUGUUGGUGAAAUUGCAUGAAAGAAAUUAUGGAGUCUUGUAGGUGUGGAUUCUGGAUAUUUUACCUCUAUUAUUUUCCUGUGAUAUUUUAUGGAAAGAUUUGCUUGCUAAAAUGAAGGAUUACUUGUCUUUCUUUGUCAUGGUUCUGGCAUGAUAUCCUUUUAAAUGGAAUCUUUACUAAGAUUAUAUUGUGUUAACUUGAGCGUUGGUUAUGGGUAGACAUUCCAGAUUUGGUUAUUGCAUACCUAACUUUGAUAUUGCUCUGCAUUGUUCUUGGCUGGAUUAUUCUGCUCUGGCAUAGUGAAUGGUCAAAUCUCUUAAAGUAUGGUAAGGACAUCUUGUUAUGAAGCUUUGUGUUAUGAAAAAGUUCCUUUUCUUACACUUUUCAAUCAUAUGAGACUAGACAGACCAAGUUUUUCCUUUCUCUGCUAUGGACACACACACAUAUAUACGCCUCUGAGAAGUUUUUCCAUUAACAAAAGCAAGUGCAUUUUGCACCGAAGAAAAAAUUAGUCCAAAGUGUAGUAGACGAGGUCAAUUGACCCGCUUUAUUUUUGCAUUGUCUCUCAUACAUGGGAAAGAGGUAAAAAUAUGGGGUCAAUUCCUUGAAAAAAAAAAUCCCACAAAUAUCUCUCAAGUACUUUUACCCCCAAUUUUGUCUUCAUGUCCAUUACGCUGAAACAAGAUGAUAAAUAAAAAAAUAUACAUCCACCAAAAGAAAAAUAAAAAUAAAAAAAAAAAUCUCUCUUUCCCUUACAUGUAGUGCCUCUAGAUUACUCUCGGGAAAAUUUUAUGUAAGUACAAUUUAAUCUAUCCAUCUUGAAGGCUAUGUUUUGGUGAAGCACUCGGGAAAACUUUUGCGGUCAAUGAGGAUGUCCGCUCUUCCCAAGAGCAGGUGGGUUGUAAUGAACCUCUAGUUAGGGAUGUUCGAACUUUGUUUCAUCAGGAUUGCAUGGUAGUAGUAGAACACGUUUAUCAUGAGUGAAAUAUAUAGGCAUUUUGAUUAGUGAAUCAUACGCUUACGCUCUUAAUCAAAGUUCAUAUACUUAACUAGCGCUUUGCCGGCUUGAUCUCUUGUUAUUUGGGGAUUCACAGGGGUCCACUCACCAUGCCCCGCUUUUGACGUUUUCUUUCUAAUGCAUUCUGGUUUCGCCCCGUAUGUCACCCAAAUAUAUGUGUGUGUAUAUAUGAAUACUAAAUACUUAUCGUGAUGUUAAGAAAUAAAAAUACUAGAUUGACGUAAUGUACUAUUCUAAUUCAUACUUGUAGCAUUUUAUUAGUAAAAAGUAAAGUACCAUUGCUCAUAAUUAUAGUAUUAUGGUUCUUACUUUUAGUAUUUUUUUUCAAACAUUGUGGCAGAUUGGACACAUUAUCCAAACAUCGUGUCACAUGACAGGUCUAUCUAACAUAACACUAUUCAUGAUAAUAUGUUUAAUUCUUUCAAUUCAUGUGUUUAGUAGUUCCAUCUAAAUUUUUAGUAUUAUUAGUACUUGUGAUUAGUACAAACGUAUAAUUCUUUUAAUUUCUGGUCAAGGAUUUAGUGCUUCAUGUGUGUAUAUAUAUGAAUACUAAAUACUUAUCGUGACGUUAAGAAAUAAAAAUACUAGAUUGACGUAAUGUACUAUUCUAAUUCAUACUUGUGGCAUUUUAUUAGUAGAGUUAAAUGCAGUUAACCCUCGGAAUGCCCCCCGACCUUUAAAUUUUUGCAGAGUGCUUCCCGACCUUACCGGAAGUAGGCAACAUGCCCCUCAAUUAAAUUCCGGCCAAAAUUCCGUCUAAGAAAUACCUGCAAAAAAAAAAACAGAAAAAAAAAAGAAGGAAUAGGAGAACAGUGGAACGUAUCCAUCUUCUAGGCGACCAUAUCUCCCUGACCUCCGGUGCAGGCCAGUCCCCACAACCCUAUCUCCCUGAGCAGCUGCGGCGAUUCUCCCUGUGCGACCAGAUUACGGUGCAGAGACCAAACCCCUGCCCUCGCGACUCCAUUGCCAGCGAUUGGCCUCGACUGUGAUGACCCCUCCUCGACCAGACUCCAAUAUACACCAACAGCCUUGCAAGCCCAUCUUCCCAAGUAGCCACGGUGACCAUCUCCCUGCCCGACUAGACUCCGGUUCAGGUGGGUGCCCCAUUUCUCUGUUGUAUUUGUCCCCUUUUCCCACUUCGUUCUGCAAUUUGAUGCAAUUAUUACGCAAUUCAAUGCCAAAUUGUGGUUAUAAUUGUCCUGUUUGGUUGGGUGGGUGUUGAUUUUGCUUAUUAAUUCCCCAAUGAUGGGCAUUGGGACUGCGUUCUUACAUUGGUGAAUUGAAGUUUAAAUUGGUCAAUUGGAGAUUCUGCAGUGGAAAUUGGGACUGCCUUGUCGUAUUUCAGUGCUGUCUAUGUCUUGAGCUACCUUGUACAAGCUGAAUGAUGCAACAAACUACCUUGGACAAGCUGAAUAAUGCAACAGUUGGAAAAACAACAUGAUGUUGGUUGUUUAUAAUACUUAUAUUUGGUUCUUGCUUGUAUUUGUGCAUUUUGUUUAGUCUUUUAGCUUUUGGUUGUUCCUUUGUGCAUUUUGUUUUGAUUUUGGUUCAUUUUGAGCUCUCUUAGGACAGUUGAAAUGACUGCUUUUAAACCGGGCAAUAGGAUAAUAGGAUUGACAUGUAAUAAUGCUAAUUUGUUCUGAGAUUUUGGUGAUUCAUGGAGAUGAGCACAAGCAGAUAAUUCUCAGUCAUGGCCCUGCUUGAAUGAAGCUUUUAACAAAAUUCCAGGACCCUGCUGAGGCUGACGAAGUUGUUGAAAAUUCUUGGAUGAAACGAAAAUCAUACCUAUAAGAAGAGGAUGUCCACAGGGAACACUGACACUAUUUGUGAAGCUACUAUCGUGUGGACCAAUGGAGUUUCGUGCUACCCGAUACUGAUAUAGUUCAGAUUACAGGAACUAGAAUGUUGCACCUGAGGCUUUGUUAUCAGUUUCAGGGGAGGAGCUAAACAACUUAUCAGUUUAUUCUCGAGUCUUAGGACGCAAAAAAGAUGCUAUUGCCGUGAUGUAACCUUUAUUUAUUUUUUUUGGUCAACAAUGUAAACUCUAUCCACUUAAUGAAAUAUGCCUUUUGGGAUGCAA